rnacentral:rRNA from 1 species
GAGUUUGAUCCUGGCUCAGAACGAACGCUGGCGGCGCGCUUAAUACAUGCAAGUCGAACGAGAAGGUGUAGCAAUACACUUGUAAAGUGGCGAACGGGUGAGGAAUACAUGGGUAACCUACCCUCGAGUGGGGAACAACCAGCCGAAAGGUUGGCUAAUACCGCGUACGCUUCCGGGUCUUCGGAUUCGGAAGGAAAGUCAUACCGUGGGUAUGACGCUCAAGGAUGGGCUCAUGUCCUAUCAGCUUGUUGGUGGGGUAACGGCCUACCAAGGCUCCGACGGGUAGCUGGUCUGAGAGGACGAUCAGCCACACUGGCACUGCGACACGGGCCAGACUCCUACGGGAGGCAACAGUAAGGAAUAUUGCGCAAUGGGCGAAAGCCUGACGCAGCGACGCCGCGUGGGGGAUGAAGGUCUUCGGAUUGUAAACCCCUUUCAGGAGGGAAAAUGGAACGAGCAAUCGUUCGGAUGGUACCUCCAGAAGCAGCCACGGCUAACUUCGUGCCAGCAGCCGCGGUAAUACGAAGGUGGCAAGCGUUGUUCGGAUUUACUGGGCGUACAGGGAGCGUAGGCGGUUUGAUAAGCCCUCUGGGAAAUCUUCGGGCUUAACCCGGAAAGUUCAGAGGGGACUGCCAAGCUAGAGGACGGGAGAGGAGCGCGGAAUUCCCGGUGUAGCGGUGAAAUGCGUAGAGAUCGG